UAUAUAAAUAAAUAAAUAAAUAUUUGAUUAAAAGAAAAUAAUACAACAUUGGUAAGAGAACCCAUAAGUCAUGGGGUACAGUGCAACAUAUGAUAACAAAGUUCAAUAAGCAUCAAUUGAAGAGGAUGCCGGUUGAUAUUCAACAAGAACAAAUUAAAUACAAUGUAGAUAAUAAAGAGAUGUAACCAGCUGACAACUUAACAUAGUGAUGUGUCUAAUUGGAUCUUAAACCGGGGGCUUAAUGAUGUGUCUAAUUGGAUCUUAAACCCGAUUGGUCCAUUAAAGGCCCAAUUAAGGGAAAACUCCAAUUAGAGCACCACUUCUAUAAUUUUCUCCCACAUUGAAUCUCUACAAGAAGUUUCACACUUCUACACUUGUCCCACAUCGAAAGUUUACAAGAAACUAAUAGUCAAGUCCUACUAUAAAGACAAGGUAUGAUUCAUUUGUUGAGGUAUCUCUAAUUUGGGUGAUAUUUUAGCCUUUGCAAAGUAUCACUUCCAAUACCUGACUUGAGCGUCGGAGUGUAAUCGCCGGGGCCACCCCGGCGAGUCACUUAGUGUCUUGAUUUGUUUUGUAGGUUAUUCGGCGGGCCCACACCUUUGACCCCUUUGGACACGUGGCAAGGACCCUCGGCAUUUCCGAUAUUGGGCUUGAAGAUUCCCGGACUUAAGAGACCAGUGGGCUUCAAGACCAUUGGGCUGACCCACCAUUUUGGAGCAGCAUCAUUUUGGCGCCGUCUGUGGGAAUGCGUACCAGAUCACGUGGCAUGGAAGAAGGUGGUCGAAGGACGGAUGGAUUCCCUCCCCAAGAAGGCCCCGAGAUCCCGGAUCCCUCCCGAAGGGCACGGAUGACGGGAGCUACAAACCAACCAGGAGGGCCCCCGCCAGUCUUGCAGAUGAGGACGGAAGAAUGGGAAGCCUUGAUAGACCAAGUGGCAACGAAGGCAGCAGCGGCGGCAGUGGCGCAUUACCUAGUCACCCAAGGUGUAGUCCCAGAAGAAGAACCGAGCCCGGUAGCCGGUGACCUGUUGGGGCCUCACCCAAACCACCCCGCCUCACCUAUCGUGGAGCCUUACCAUUCGGAGGAAAGAGUGUCAUUGGGAGACCGAAACUUUCCCUCAACAUCUGCUAGGAAUGCCCAACGGCGGACGCCUCACCUUAGCCUUUUGCCGGAGCAAGUGCCUCGAAGGAACAAUCGCCGUUGGUCGCCACCAUUUAAUGUCACCGUAGAUUACUCUCUUCAAAGGGGCGACCAUCAACGUAGAGCACACUCAAGGGGACAAAAGGAGCGUAUGCGUCGAGAGGAGAAAGGCGAAAAGAGACGCCACCAUCCCAACCACCGUGGAGGCCCUGAUCAAGGCGAAGACGGUAGCAGAAUGUCCCAACACAAAGAGAGAAGCCGACGUCGCACAAGGGUUGACGACGACGAUGCAAGAAGCCGACGGACGAAGGCAAAAGAGUCGGCGUCCCUUGCCCUGGUGAAAGCGCUUCCGACAAGAGUAAGCCCAUUUACCCCGGCCAUUCUAAAAGAAGUCCUGCCCUUCGGGUUUCGGAUCCCCGAUCUUCCACAGUUCGACGGAACCGCAGAUCCCCAAGACCAUAUAAAUAACUUUUAUGCCAAGGUCGAUCUUUACGGCCUCACGGAUGCGGCAUACUGCAAGAUCUUUCAAACUACCAUGAGUGGCCAAACGCUAGGUUGGUUCAACAAAUUGCCAGGUGGGACUAUCGACGGAUGGUCGCAGUUAGUGGAACAAUUCCUUAGCCAAUAUUCCAUCAACAAGAAGUACGCCAAGACCGGAACCUACCUUUUCAAAGUCGUCCAGCAAGAAAACGAGGCGCUCAGAGAUUAUAUGCAACAGUUCUUUAGCACGGUGCAUGAAGUAUGCCACGUAAACCACGAGUUCUUGGCGGGGAUCUUGAUGAGCAACUUGAGGCAUGAACGGUUUCGAGAGUCCCUUGCGGGCCGACCCCCCUCGACACUGGAUGAGCUCAUCGGUCGGGCCGAGAAGUACAUUCGCAUUGAGGAGGUUGCGGAGAUGGGUUUGCCCGCGAGGGGAAAGCACGAGGAGAAGCACCCCGAGACGAGAGAGAGACAAGAAAUGCGCCCAACGCUCACCUAACCUAACGCUCACGCCGCAUAGCCAUCAAAAGGAUAGCGCCACAACACAUGGAUAGGCACUAAGGGCCAAAAACUUGAAGAUCUUAAGAGCUUUCAAAAACAAGGCAGGGGCAUGUAGCUCACCGCAAUAUAUUAUGUACUGUCAGCUACAAUGAUACUUGAAUGUUUUAAUCAGGGACAUACUUCCCGCCGAACCUUUAUCUAAUUACUCAUUAUUUGUAUGUAUCUGCCGAUCACUUUCGUUACCUUUCAACCCACUACUCGUAAAACUACAAUUUACAUACGUGAUAACAUAUCGAAAUUGAAAUUUCGUUCCCUGAAACACCAAGAGAAAAUAAAAAGACGGACUUCCCACAAGGCAAAAAGCCAAGGGAUACCGCCUUUCUUAAAAAGAUGAAGCAUAGCUCACCCUUCACGAAUGUUGGACUUCCCAAUAGGCAAAAAGCCAAGGGAUACCACAUCGCCUUAAAAGAUAAAGCUUAGCUUAUACUUUGCGAGAGUCGGACUUCCCAAUAGGCAAAAAGCCAAGGGAUACGGCGUCGCCUUAAAAAAUAAAGUUAACUCAUUCUUCGCGAAAAGUGCACUUCCCACUAGGCAAAAAGCCAAGGGAUACCGCCUUUCUUAAAAAGAUGAAGCAUACCUCACCCUUCACGAAUGUCGGACUUCCCAAUAGGCAAAAAGCCAAGGGAUGCCACGUCGCCUUAAAAGAUAAAGCUUAGCUUAUACUUUGCGAGAGUCGGACUUCUCAAUAGGCAAAAAGCCAAGGGAUACCACAUCGCCUUAAAAGAUAAAGCUUAGCUUAUACUUUGCGAGAGUCGGACUUCCCAAUAGGCAAAAAGCCAAGGGAUACGGCGUCGCCUUAAAAAAUAAAGUUAACUCAUUCUUCGCGAAAAGUGCACUUCCCACUAGGCUAAGCCAAGGGGUACUGCCUUGCUUAAAAAGAUAAAGCGUAACUCAUCCUUUACGAAAGUCGGACUUCCCACCAGGCAAUAACCAUGAGAUAUCGUCUUACCCAAAAAAGACAGAGUAUAACUCAUUACUUGCGAGAGAAGGACUUCUUGCCAUUGAUAUUUUUGGAAAGAAAGUCGGCCAUUGGCGUAACGGCCGGCAAAAAAAAAAAAAAAAAAAAAAAAAGGGUAGAGAUAAAGAGAUACGAGAGGAGUUGGUGUCUAAACACUCCAUUAAUACCAACCGACCCUCUCCGCCCCAAAUCUUUUCCCAUGGGCCAUCUUCCAAGCUAGAAUCCAUGUCGGCCUCCGGAGCCGUACAAAACACGGCAAAUGUUGUCUAAGUCUUUCCAAAACUCACCCCCAACGCCGCCGGAGCCGUACAAAAGACGGGAGAAUUUUGUCCAAGUCCAUCCCAAUUACCCGACGGCUCGCUCAUACGGUUUGAUGUCGGCCAGAGCCGCAAACUCGGGUCGGCCGUCGCCCCGUUUACCCGGAUCCCAACCCGACAACCCCCGACCCGCCGGCUCCCGGCCCGUCAACUCCCAACCCGUCGGCUCCCGGCCCGUCGGCUCCCAACCCGACGGCUUCCGGCCGACUACGUCGCGACCCGGCAUCCCCCGGCCCGCUGGCUCCCCACCCGGCAUCCCUCGAUCCGCCGACUAUGUCGCGACCCGGAGGUCCUCGACCCGACGGCUUUCGGCCCAUUACAUCGCGACCCGAAGGUCCUCGACCCGACGGCUUCCGGCCGACUACGUCGCGACCCGGAGGUCCUCGACCCGACGGCUUUCGGCCCAUUACAUCGCGACCCGAAGGUCCUCGACCCGACGGCUUCCGGCCGACUACGUCGCGACCUGGAGGUCCUCAACCCGACGGCUUUCGGCCCAUUACAUCGCGACCCGGAGGUCCUCGACCUGACGGCUUCCGGCCGACUACGUCGCGACCCUAAGGUCCUCAACCCGACGGCUUCUGGUCCACUACGCCACGACCCGGAAGUUCUCGACCCGACGGCUUCUGGCUCACUACGUCGCGACCCGGAGGUUCUCAACCGAACGGCUUCCGGCCCACUACCUCGCGACCCGGAGGUUCUCGACCCGACGGCUCCCGGCCUACCAAGGUUGAACGCGACGGCUCCUGGCUAGCCAAGCUCGGACCCGACUCAAGAGUCUUCCCGAGGGCACCCAACCGGCCACUUCGUCAUCCCCACCGCCCAACCACCACUCACUUUCAUAGCGCCACCACUCCUCAAAGCGCGCGUACGAGAAGCGGACAAAUUUCGUCCUAAUACGCCCAAGAAAACCCCAUGCCCUCCGGAUCACCCGCCGUAGCGCAAAUAGCCCAACUCUGGAGGUCACGGAGCAACAACUCCAAACUCCUACUUAUCUACUACUCCCAAGCCGGCCCACGGACCGUGGCCCAAUUUGGGAGUGGGGGGCUUAAUGAUGUGUCUAAUUGGAUCUUAAACCGGGGGGCUUAAUGAUGUGUCUAAUUGGAUCUUAAACCCGAUUGGUCCAUUAAAGGCCCAAUUAAGGGAAAACUCCAAUUAGAGCACCACUUCUAUAAUUUUCUCCCACAUUGAAUCUCUACAAGAAGUUUCACACUUCUACACUUGUCCCACAUCGAAAGUUUACAAGAAACUAAUAGUCAAGUCCUACUAUAAAGACAAGGUAUGAUUCAUUUGUUGAGGUAUCUCUAAUUUGGGUGAUAUUUUAGCCUUUGCAAAGUAUCACUUCCAAUACCUGACUUGAGCGUCGGAGUGUAAUCGCCGGGGCCACCCCGGCGAGUCACUUAGUGUCUUGAUUUGUUUUGUAGGUUAUUCGGCGGGCCCACACCUUUGACCCCUUUGGACACGUGGCAAGGACCCUCGGCAUUUCCGAUAUUGGGCUUGAAGAUUCCCGGACUUAAGAGACCAGUGGGCUUCAAGACCAUUGGGCUGACCCACCAUUUUGGAGCAGCAUCACAUAGUCAUAGCAGUAGAUUUCAGCAAGCACGGUGUCGCUGUUUGCUGGUCUCUCUCUCAAUAUAUAAUAUAAUAUAUAUAUAU
rnacentral:lncRNA from 1 species